rnacentral:ncRNA from 1 species
UGACCUCAGAUCAGGCAAGGCUACCCGCUGAAUUUAAGCAUAUUAAUAAGCGGAGGAAAAGAAACUAACAAGGAUUCCCCUAGUAAUGGCGAAUGAAGCGGGAACAGCUCAAAUUUAAAAUCUCCGUUGCUUGCAACGGCGAAUUGUAGUUUCGAGAAGCACUUUCUCGGCGGAUCCGAGGUCGUCCAAGUUGCUUGGAACAGCACGUCGUAGAGGGUGACAACCCCGUCUGCGGCGAUCUCGGCCGUUCACGAUGUGCUUUCGACGAGUCGGGUUGUUUGGGAAUGCAGCCCAAAAUGGGUGGUAAACUCCAUCUAAAGCUAAAUAUUGGCACGAGACCGAUAGCGAACAAGUACCGUGAGGGAAAGAUGAAAAGCACUUUGAAAAGAGAGUUAAAAAGUACGUGAAACCGUUAAAAGGGAAACGAAUGGGGUUAGCAAUGCGUCGUGCGAGAUUCAGCCGGUGGGUGGGCCAGGCGGGCGGUUGGCGGAUCUGAAUGGACCGCUGCCGUUCGGGUUGGUUUCCCGACCGUCGCACUUCUCGCAGGCGCGCGCCAACGUCGGUUAGGGCUGGGUCUCAAGGCGGUGGAAAGGUAGGUUUGGACUCUCGGGCCCGAACUGUUACAGUCCUCCGUUUGUCAUGGCCCGGACCUGACCGAGGAGCUUGCGGUGCAUGCCGUUCGGCUAGGGUCCCGUCUUCCCGGUCGGUCGUCGAAUGCGGUGGACUGCGUGCAGUGCGCCGCGACUGCUGCCGGUCGCGAGGGCGGUGAUUUCGUACUAUGCACCCACGACGUUGGCGGUCAUAUGGCCUCAUCCGACCCGUCUUGAAACACGGACCAAGGAGUCUAACAUGUGUGCGAGUCUUUGAGUGAUCGAAACUCCGAGGCGUAAUGAAAGUGAAGGCGACUCCGGUCGCUGAGGUGAGAGCCUUUUACAAAAAAAGGCGCAUCAUUGACCGACCUAUUCUACUCUUAGAAAGGUUUGAGUAAGAGCGCAUCUGUUGGGACCCGAAAGAUGGUGAACUAUGCCUGAAUAGGGUGAAGCCAGAGGAAACUCUGGUGGAGGCUCGUAGCGAUUCUGACGUGCAAAUCGAUCGUCAAAUUUGGGUAUAGGGGCGAAAGACUAAUCGAACUGUCUAGUAGCUGGU